AAAAACGAAACACUUCUCUUUCGUUCGUGCCCUACCCGAAACAACGCUCUCCCUUUUCCGGCAUCUCUCACAAGUUCACCACCGGCUGACUCUCCGGCGCCUCCCACUCGGCUGACUCUUCGGCGACUCCCCACUCCGCCCGACUCUCCAGGCGCCUCCCCACUCGGCUGACUCUCCGACGCCAACAGCUGCUGCUCCUUCAUCGGCUGAAGCUUCUAAAUCGAGAUUGUACAUUGGAAAAAUCAUUUAAAAUUUCCAGAGGACGCCAGAUUGUCACCUGAAGCAAGGGAUUUGAUUUGUAGGCUUCUUUGUGAUGGUCAAGGAUAUAUUAGGAGUUGAAAUCAGAACAUUAGAUUGAACUUUCGAGCAUCCUCUGGUGUCUGUCAAAAGUGUGGUAUUUUUAUAGGUCAGGGUUAGAAAAAAAGGGUGGAGGUUGCUCUUUUCUUCUCUCUAAAAGUAAGUCUAGCAAUAUGUAAUCCAGCUCUGAUAAUUGCUCCCCUUUGUUCUCAUGUCGAUGUCUUCUUGUGAACUUGCUGCAGCUGUUGGCUUCUCAUUCAUGUGUUGUGUCAAUAAGUAUGAAGGAGGAAUAAGGCAACAAAUACAGUUCAUUGGCUUUUGAUGCCGUGAGAAAGCUUUUUUUUUU